AUCAUUUUUUGUUAAGUUAUUCCACUGCUUGGACCAUAUCCUGGCAUGGGGCAAAGAAAGCAUGGACCACUCAGAUUACCACAGCACACAACUAAUCAUUAUUAAAACAGAAGGAAAGCGAUCUGAAUGACUUAGCCACAAUGUGCGCACAUGUUACGGAUGGAUUGUAUAUGAGAAUGUACGGCUUGCAUUGCAUACUACUUCUGCAUGCUUUUUUCUUGUCUUUUUUUCCCCCCAAUUAGGGUAAGCGUGCUGGUGGGGGCUCCAAAGGCAAACACAUCCCAGCCGGGGAUCGUGGAGGCAGGGGCUGUCUACUACUGCCCUUGGCCUGGACAGACUGACAGCUGCAGACAGAUACCUUUUGACAAUGCAAUGCUCAUACUAUAUUGGCAGUUUUAGUAGACCAAGGACUAAACACUAAAGAUGUGAGAAUGGAAAGCGCGGGAGGUGCUGGAUGAUUGAUGAUAGUGGCCACGCUGGUUUUGUCUACAGUUUCACGGAGCCAUUAAAACAGAUAACCGAAUGAUAAAGGUAAACGGCACUCGGGAGCCACUGGAAUUCAAGUCUCAUCAGUGGUUUGGGGCUUCGGUCAGGACGCACAGAGAGAAAGUAGUGGCGUGUGCCCCUCUGUACCACUGGCGCACGGUGAAGCUGGGCGGGGAGCAGGACCCGGUGGGGACCUGUUAUGUGGCAGUGCAGAACUUCAGCGCCUACGCAGA